rnacentral:rRNA from 1 species
AUUGAACGCUGGCGGCAGGCCUAACACAUGCAAGUCGAACGAGUGGCGGACGGGUGAGUAAUGUCUGGGAAACUGCCUGAUGGAGGGGGAUAACUACUGGAAACGGUAGCUAAUACCGCAUACCACCAUUUGGGCCCAGAUGGGAUUAGCUAGUUGGUGGGGUAACGGCUCACCAAGGCGACGAGCCCUAGCUGGUCUGAGAGGAUGACCAGCCACACUGGAACUGAGACACGGUCCAGACUCCUACGGGAGGCAGCAGUGGGGAAUAUUGCACAAUGGGCGCAAGCCUGAUGCAGCAAUGCCGCGUGUAUGAAGAAGGCCUUCGGGUUGUAAAGUACUGUCAGCGGGGAGGCGGUACCCGAAGAAGAAGCACCGGCUAACUCCGUGCCAGCAGCCGCGGUAAUAC